rnacentral:rRNA from 1 species
AGUGAACGCUGGCGGCAGGCCUAAUACAUGCAAUUCGAACGGCAGCACAGCAGAGCUUGCUCUGUGGGUGGCGAGUGGCGGACGGGUGAGGAAUACAUGGGAAUCUGCCCAGUCGUGGGGGAUAACGUAGGGAAACUUACGCUAAUACCGCAUGCGCCCUUCGGGGGAAAGCCGGGGACCUUCGGGCCUGGCGCGAUUGGAUGAGCCAUGUCGGAUUAGCUAGUUGGCGGGGUAAUGGCCCACCAAGGCGACGAUCCGUAGCUGGUCUGAGAGGAUGAUCAGCCACACUGGAACUGAGACACGGUCCAGACUCCUACGGGAGGCAGCAGUAGGGAAUAUUGGACAAUGGGCGCAAGCCUGAUCCAGCCAUGCCGCGUGAGUGAAGAAGGCCCUCGGGUUGUAAAG